ensembl:lncRNA
CUCUUGGGUCUUGCUCCCUCCCAGGGGCACUGCUGAGAAGCUGGACACAGAUCUCCUUUGCUCUAGGGACCCAUCAAACUUACCUCUGCUAGUCUGGGAAAUGUUUGUUCAGCAGCUGUGAUUUUGGUGUGUUCCUGAAAGGAGGUGUGGUCAAAGUCCAUCUCCUCUGUCGUCUUGGCCUCUCUCCCACCUCAACAACAGUUUUAAAACAUUUGUGCCAAGAGCUGCAAAAAUAAAGGUCCAAAACUCGGUGUUGAAAAAGAAGGGGGAAAGUCACACAGGUGUCAGAACUUGCAGGGACUCAGCAGGUCCCGCUGCUGGAAUGGGGCUGAUGAAGUCUUUGGAAAGUUUUUGGCUCUUCAUGGCUGCCAACUCUGAGUUGUCAGCAAAGCCUUGGGUGGAGACCCGAGGUCGUUUUUGACGGUCAAGGCCAGCAUCAGGAAAAAGGGAAAGGUCAAAGCCAAGCCCCCAGCCACCCCUGGGGUCCAACCGUAAAGGUCAGAAUACAAUGACCGCUGCUUCUCUUCUCCCUCCUCCGGAAACUUAGCUUGCCUUUGGGCCAACUAUAGUUUCUGUCUCUGACCAGGAAUUCCUCGUUCGAGUGGUGCCCAGAUCUCUGUGUUCCUGAGUCACUGCCUGGAGGUGAACGGAGAGGCCAGAAAAGACUCUUCAGAGUACAGCCUCCUGUUGCUCCUGCAGCCAGCGCGCAGGGAUGCACGUGUGUGCAGCUCACCGCUCUGCACUUGGGUGCCAAUCAUUUGUUUUUUAAGAAGGUGGCCCAGUGGUAAAGAACCCGCCUGCCAGUGCAGGAGACAUGAGAAAUGUGGGUUCAAUCCCUGGGUCAGGAAGAUCC